rnacentral:rRNA from 1 species
UACGUAGGGUGCGAGCGUUAAUCGGAAUUACUGGGCGUAAAGUGUGCGCAGGCGGCCGCGCAAGUCGAGUGUGAAAGCCCCGGGCUUAACUUGGGAAUUGCGCUCGAAACUACGUGGCUGGAGUGCGGCAGAGGAAGGUGGAAUUCCAGGUGUAGCGGUGAAAUGCGUAGAGAUCUGGAGGAACACCGAUGGCGAAGGCAGCCUUCUGGGCCACACUGACGCUCAUGCACGAAAGCGUGGGGAGCAAACAGG